rnacentral:rRNA from 1 species
CUGGCGGCGUGCCUAACACAUGCAAGUCGAGCGGGGACAUUGCGACGGAGACGAAGUACUCGUACGGAGUCAAAGAUGUAAUGUUCUAGCGGCGGACGGGUGAGUAACGCGUGAGCAACCUGUCCCUUACAGGGGGAUAACACAGCGAAAGUUGUACUAAUACCGCAUGAGACCACAGGAUGACAUCAUCCAGGGGUCAAAGGAGCAAUCCGGUAAGGGGUGGGCUCGCGUCCGAUUAGAUAGUUGGUGAGGUAACGGCCCACCAAGUCGACGAUCGGUAGCCGACCUGAGAGGGUGAUCGGCCACAUUGGGACUGAGACACGGCCCAAACUCCUACGGGAGGCAGCAGUGGGGAAUAUUGGGCAAAUGGGGGAAACCCUGACCCAGCAACGCCGCGUGAGGGAAGAAGGUUUUCGGAUCGUAAACCUCUGUCCCAGGUGAAGAGGAAGAGACGGUAGCCUGGGAGGAAGCCCCGGCUAACUACGUGCCAGCCGCCGC